AGGGUUUGAUCCUGGCUCAGAAUGAACGUUGGCGGCGUGGAUUAGGCAUGCAAGUCGAGCGCGAUACAUAAUCAAGAUACUUCGGUUGAUUGAUUAUGUGGAAAGCGGCGAAAGGGAGAGUAACGAGUAGAUACGUACCCAAGGGUUCGGGAUAGCCAUGCGAAAGCGUGAGUAAUACCGAAUAAUGUCUCCGGACCAAAAAUUUAUUGCCCUUGGAGCGGUCUGCUUACUAUUAGGUAGUUGGUGGGGUAAGAGCCUACCAAGCCGAAGAUGGUUAGCGGGUGUGAGAGCAUGGCCCGUCUCACUGGAACUGAGACACUGUCCAGACACCUACGGGUGGCUGCAGUCGAGAAUCUUCCGCAAUGGGCGAAAGCCUGACGGAGCGACGCCGCGUGAUGGACGAAGGCCCUCGGGUUGUAAACAUCUGUCGUAGGGGAGGAAAUUUUGACCGAUCCUAGGAGGAAGCACAGGCUAAGUUCGUGCCAGCAGCCGCGGUAAUACGAACUGUGCAAACGUUAUUCGGAAUCACUGGGCUUAAAGGGUGCGUAGGCGGGUUUAUAGGUCAGAUGUGAAAGCCCACGGCUCAACCGUGGAAUUGCGUUUGAAACCAUAAGUCUUGAGGGGAUCAGAGGAGAGCGGAACUGAUGGUGGAGCGGUGAAAUGCGUUGAUAUCAUCAGGAACACCGGUGGCGAAAGCGGCUCUCUGGGAUCUUUCUGACGCUGAGGCACGAAAGCUAGGGGAGCGAACGGGAUUAGAUACCCCGGUAGUCCUAGCUGUAAACGAUCUGUACUAGUCCGUGGAGCCUCCCACAGUUUCUCGGACGUAGCGAAAGUGUUAAGUACAGCGCCUGGGGAGUAUGGUCGCAAGGCUGAA
rnacentral:rRNA from 1 species